UAGUAACGGCGAGUGAAGCGGGAUGAGCUCAAAUUUAAAAUCUGGCUGGUUUACUAGUCCGAAUUGUAGUUUAAAGAAGCGUUUUCGGUGGCAGCCUGGGUAUAAAUCCUUUGGAACAGGGUAUCAUAGAGGGUGAGAAUCCCGUCUUUGACUCAGUGCAUGCUACUAUGUGAUACGUUUUCAAAGAGUCGAGUUGUUUGGGAAUGCAGCUCAAAAUGGGUGGUAAAUUUCAUCUAAGGCUAAAUAUUGGCGAGAGACCGAUAGCGAACAAGUACCGUGAGGGAAAGAUGAAAAGAACUUUGAAAAGAGAGUUAAACAGUGCGUGAAAUUGUUGAAAGGGAAACGCUUGACACCAGUCAUGCGAGCGGAAAAUCAGUCUUUUGCAGUGGGGAGUUGUGUGGGUUCGGACCGCAAGGCCGGCCUGUGCUGCAUCUCUGCUGUAAGUGAUGCACUUUUUCGUUUGCAGGCCAACAUCAGUUUCUUCUGCUGGACAAAACUCUUGAGAAGGUAGCAGCUUAGGCUGUGUUAUAGCUCUUGAGCGAUACAGUGGAGGGGACUGAGGUUUUCGCAGCGCGUGCUCUCGGGCAAGGCUGAUUGGGUGCUAUGGGAUCGUUCGGUGUACAAUGCAUGCAUUUUGCGCCGUGUCUUUUCUAUACUCGCUCAACUCGGCUCUUCCGCGCUUAGGAUGUUGGCUUAAUGGUUUUAAUCGACCCGUCUUGAAACACGGACCAAGGAGUCUAACAUAUAUGCAAGUGUUUGGGUGGCAAACCCAUGCGCGUAAUGAAAGUGAACGUAGGUGCGAUCCGCAAGGUGCAGCAUCGACCGAUCUUGAUAUUUUUGGAUAGAUUUGAGUAAGAGCAUAUAUGCUGGGACCCGAAAGAUGGUGAACUAUGCCUGAAUAGGGUGAAGCCAGAGGAAACUCUGGUGGAGGCUCGUAGCGAUUCUGACGUGCAAAUCGAUCGUCAAAUUUGGGUAUAGGGGCGAAAGACUAAUCGAA
rnacentral:rRNA from 1 species